rnacentral:lncRNA from 1 species
CGACCUUUAUCUUCAGUCUAAGAGUUUAAUGAUUCAGAAAUAUCAGUAAAAAAUUAUAUUUUCCAUCAUACUUUUUCAAUAUGACAACUCUAGAUUGUUAGAGAGAGAGAGAAAUAGGCAGCACGCUACCCGUUUCGUUUAUUUUAUUUAGAAAAAUCAAUUAGGAUUCGAACUUUGAACCUCAAGUACCAAUCACCAAGUCCUUUGCUACUUGCGCUAGGGACGGUCGAUAAUUUGAUCCAAUCUUGAACGCUAAAUAGGGCCUAACUCAAAACCAAAAUAGAUUUAUUCGAAUUUGGUUUCGGAUACAGACAAAAUGCAUACCUGAACUUAUAUUCUGUAAAAAAAUGUUAUUUUUUUUCUUUUUUUUUU